UUCAUGACAUGUUCACAUACUACAGAAAUGUGCAUUAACUCUUUACUUACCUCCAUAUCACCCAACGAGCACUGCCUGACAACUAAUGAAGAGAAGAGACCGUGAGAGAGCCGGAGGAACAGCAUGAGGAUGAUGACGGAUAACAUUACAGAAAUGAACCCACAUAAAACCAACACCACAACACUAUUGUCACCUGUAAAAUAAAUACAAGGAUGUAAGGUAGCAUAACUAUUCAUGUUGAGAUGAAGAGUUGAAUAGAUGAGAUGAAUGUCCUAUAGGAAUUUGCUAUAUUGAAAAGCGCUCUUUAAGAAACGGUGCUCUAAAAAGGUUAUAUCUGGUAAUAGCAAGAGUUAUGUAGAAACAAAAAAUGAAUGUCCGCAAUUAAAUAUCAAGACUGAAGUGCCUUUUUUGACUGAUUUGUGCAGCACUCGAAUGGGUUGUUGAUUCCUGAAAUAAGGUUUGUGGUUAACACGAGCUCAAAAUACUUCUGUCAGGUUUUAUUGUAUGACAUUUGUUGUAGUUCUUGAAAAGUGUUUUCUGUUAAAGGGGACAUAACACACACAGUUUCUGCCAAUCUCAUGUUAACCUCGAGUACCUAUAGAGUAGUAUUGCAUCCUUCGUAUCUCCGAAAAAGUAUUUAGUCUGAUCAGAUUUAUGAAAUACAGAUACAGCUUUACACUUCCCUCUGAAAACAGUCGAGCUCCUGGAGGCGUGCAGUGGGCGGAGCUAAAGAGCCACAAGCAUGCAAAGCUUUUGUAUAGUGAUCAUCUGCAAGCUGUGACAUCGACAUAAAUAGUUUCC